UUACCCUGGAGCUGUACAAGUCACACACAGCUCCAUUGGAGAGAAAACUGGGUGGAACCAUUUGACUGAAAAUCCAUGUCCAAGGCCAACAAGAAAGAGCUGAGACACUGCAGAAAGAGCAGGAAUAAAUAAAAGGUGAAGACAGAGACCAGACAAGGAGGACUCAAUUACAGACUGAUAGAAGACUCAAGGAAGAAAAUGAAGCUGGACCUGUGAAGAACUGUCGAAACAGCUGUAGAGGAAUUGUGGUGGAGGCAGUAAUGGCUCCUUUAGUAGCAGAGAAUAGAAAGAUCUCGAAAACAAAGCCUAUUGUCAGGAGACUUGCACCCAUCUUGGCCUACUUCCAAGUAUUAUAGUUUCAUGAAGGCAGGAAACAGAUGUAUCUUCUCCAUGGUUGUAUGCUGAGAGCUUUGCACACUGCCUGGCAC